rnacentral:rRNA from 1 species
UACGAAGGGGGCGAGCGUUAUUCGGAAUCACUGGGCGUAAAGCGUGCGUAGGCCGCUUUGUAAGUUAGGAGUGAAAGCCCAGGGCUCAACCCUGGAAUUGCUCUUAAAACUACAAGGCUAGGAUUCGGGAGAGGAUAGCGGAAUUGUCAGUGUAGCAGUGAAAUGCGUAGAUAUUGACAGGAACACCAGUGGCGCAAGCGGCUAUCUGGACCGACAUCGACGCUGAGGCACGAAAGCGUGGGGAUCAAACAGGAUUAGAUACCCUGGUAGUCCACGCCGUAAACGAUGUGUGUUUGUCGCCGGGGGGUUCCCCUUCGGUGACGAAGCUAACGCGUUAAGCACACCGCCUGGGAAGUACGGCCGCAAGGCUAAA